GCAAUCCCAGCGGCACAGUAAAGUGCACACAACCCUCCCAGCUGUGAAUCAAAGCCUGCAGUAACUAAACAACACCAUCUAGAAAGCUGACAUUAGAAGCUCAACUUUGUUUGGGGUUAUAAACACAACUCCCUCCUCCACAGAGCCCACAUUUUCAGAGACCUGCCCUCCUCGAUAUCUAUGCAGGGGCCUUCCCUUCACCCUGCCUCAGCUGACAUUGUGUUACCCAGUUCAACAUUCAACCCACUAGAGGUCUCCAUAACACCAAGCAAACCAGAAAAUGAACAUCAUGAAGUCAGAGGUGAUCAAACUCAGAAGAGAGAAAGAGAGACAGGCUGUUUGAGAGUAGGAGCAGCAAGGCAUAGACAGUAGCCUGGGAGGUGGAUGCAGAAGGAAGGCUGGGUGCAGCACACAAUUGGAAAGCUGUGAAUGAAAGCUGAUAGGUGGGAUGCAGAGAAUCAGAAGUUGAUAUAAAGAAGAGGAAAAAGAAAAUGUCAAAAUUCAACAUUUCACAAACCUUUCAGUCUGAUAAGCCCAGGAACUGUCCUGAAUGGAAUGAACCCUUCUCCGUAUUUGGACUGCAAUGAAUUUGGACACAGAGCAGCAAAACACAGGUCAAAGGAAUGAACAAGUGAACAAAUGGAUCAGGUGUGGAAAAGAGUGGUCUUCAGUUACCAGGAAAUAAAAAGGUCUUUUGUCUCUGUAGUCAGCUUUAAAGGUCUUCAGGGAAGGGGG